rnacentral:rRNA from 1 species
AGAGUUUGAUCCUGGCUCAGAACGAACGCUGGCGGCGUGGAUAAGACAUGCAAGUCGCACGGAGAAAAGAUAGUUUACUAGCUUUUCUGAGUGGCGCACGGGUGAGUAACACGUGAGCAACCUGCCUCUUAGUGGGGGAUAGCCCUGGGAAACCGGGAUUAAUACCGCAUAUCAUCGCAAGAUGAAAGCAGCAAUGCGCUAAGAGAGGGGCUCGCGGCCUAUUAGUUAGUUGGUGAGGUAACGGCUCACCAAGGCGACGACGGGUAGCCGGUCUGAGAGGAUGUCCGGCCACACUGGAACUGAGACACGGUCCAGACACCUACGGGUGGCAGCAGUCGAGAAUCAUUCACAAUGGGGGAAACCCUGAUGGUGCGACGCCGCGUGGGGGAAGAAGGUCUUCGGAUUGUAAACCCCUGUCAUGUGGGAGCAAGCUAGCAAUAGUUGAUAGUACCACAAGAGGAAGAGACGGCUAACUCUGUGCCAGCAGCCGCGGUAAUACAGAGGUCUCAAGCGUUGUUCGGAAUCACUGGGCGUAAAGGGUACGUA